rnacentral:rRNA from 1 species
UACGUAGGGGGGCGAGCGUUGUCCGGAUUUAUUGGGCGUAAAGAGCUCGUAGGCGGCCUGUCGCGUCGGAUGUGAAAGCCCGGGGCUUAACCCCGGGUCUGCAUUCGAUACGGGCAGGCUAGAGUGUGGUAGGGGAGAUCGGAAUUCCUGGUGUAGCGGUGAAAUGCGCAGAUAUCAGGAGGAACACCGGUGGCGAAGGCGGAUCUCUGGGACCAUUACUGACGCUGAGGAGCGAAAGCGGUGGGAGCGAACAGG